rnacentral:tRNA from 1 species
GUAUAGCUCAGUGGCACAAGCGCCUGCCUGGCAAGCACAAGGUCCUGAGUUCAAUUCCCAGUAC